GACGAACGCUGGCGGCGUGCUUAACACAUGCAAGUCGAACGGUAAGGCCCUUCGGGGUACACGAGUGGCGAACGGGGGAGUAACACGUGGGUGAUCUGCCCUGAACUUCGGGAUAAGCCUGGGAAACGGGGUCUACUACCGGCGAGGACCACUGCCUGCAGGGGUGGUGGUGGAAAGCUGUUGCGGUGUGGGAUGGGCCCGCGGCCUAUUGGCGUGGUGGGGGGGUGAUGGCCUACUAAGUCGACGACGGGUAGCCGGCCGGAGAGGGUGACCGGCCACACUGGGACUGAGAUACGGCCCAGACUCCUACGGGAGGCAGCAGUGGGGAAUAUUGCACAAUGGGCGCAAGCCUGAUGCAGCGACGCCGCGUGAGGGAUGACGGCCUUCGGGUUGUAAACCUCUUUCAGCACCGACGAAGCGCAAGUGACGGUAGGUGCAGAAGAAGGACCGGCCAACUACGUGCCAGCCGCCGCCGUAA
rnacentral:rRNA from 1 species